UACGUAAGUGGCGAGCGUUAUCCGGAAUCACUGGGCGUAAAGAGUGCGUAGGCGGUUGGGUAAGUUAGAUUUGAAAGCCCGGGGCUCAACUCCGGAUCCGGAUCUAAAACUACUUGACUGGAGCGAAUCAGAGGACAACGGAAUUCCCGGUGUAGCGGUAAUAUGCGUAGAUAUCGGGAGGAACACCAGUGGCGAAGGCGGUUGUCUGGGGUUUUGCUGACGCUGAGGCACGAAAGCCAGGGGAGCGAACGGG
rnacentral:rRNA from 1 species